GUUCAUUUUGUAAUAAGUAAUCUGGAGAGAGAAAAUAACUAAACCUUGGGGUAUAUGUAGAAUUAGGAUUUUCAAUCCUGUGUUUGCAAGACCUAAUUAUGUACAUUUUUUUAUAGGCAGACUUUUCCAGGUAGAGAGUGGCAGUGAAGCACUAGAAACUUUGGGGAAGGAAGGCAAGAAAAUCACCAGUGUUCUCAUCUAACCAAUUAUAAUGGCUAUGUUGGACCUAUAGCCCCGUAUUCUAAUCAUGAGGAAACAUGAGACAAAUUCUGAGAAAGACAUCCUACAACAUACCUACCCAAUACUCCUUAAAACAACCAAAGUCAUCGGAAACAAGGAAAGCCUAAGAAACUGCCAGAGCCAAGAGAAACUAUCUUAGCCAAGCUAAGGAGAUAUGGCAGCUAAAUAAACGUCAGGUGGAUUUUGGAACAACAAAAAAAGGACAUUUGGUGCAGAGAAAGGAGAUCUGAAUGAACUGUUGAUUUUAGUUUAUGAUUAUGUGUGAAUAUUAGUUCAUUAGAUGCAAACAAAAGUACCAUCCUAAUGUAAGGUGUUAAAAACGUGAUACUAGGUGCUGUGCAUAUGAGAACACUGCGCUGUCUUCUCAGAUUUUCUGUAAAUGUAAACUUGUUCUGGAAAAUAAAGUCUUUUAACAAUUUACCAA